rnacentral:rRNA from 1 species
GACGAACGCUGGCGGCGUGCUUAACACAUGCAAGUCGAACGGGCCUUGUCCCCUUUUUUUUUGGGGGUGGGGUUAGUGGCGAACGGGUGAGUAACACGUGAGUAACCUGCCCCUCACUUCUGGAUAACCGCUUGAAAGGGUGGCUAAUACGGGGGGUUUUGGCCUGUCCGCAUGGGUGGGUUUGGAAAGAUUCGACCGGUUUUGGUGGUUUUGGUGGGGGAUGGGCUCGCGGCCUAUCAGCUUGUGGGUGGGGGGAUGGCCUGCCAAGGCUUUGACGGGUAGCCGGCCUGAGAGGGUGGGCGGUCACACUGGGACUGAGACACGGCCCAGACUCCUACGGGAGGCAGCAGUGGGGAAUAUUGCACAAUGGGCGCAAGCCUGAUGCAGCGACGCCGCGUGAGGGAUGGAGGCCUUCGGGUUGUGAACCUCUUUCGCCAGUGAAGAAGGUCCUGCUCUUUGUGGUGGGGUUGACGGUAGCUGGGUUAAUGAAGCGCCGGCUAACUACGUG